GGUGCAUAGCAAUCUUAGAGGUUGCACUGUUCGAUUUUUGGUCGGGCUGUGAGGCAGUGCCGACUUAUGAAAGAACUGGAGUGGAACGCAUCCGUGCAUGGAGGAAAGAAGAGGUGGUUAGAGUGAUGGCGAAGUUAAAGUUGGAUAGACCGAUGAAGCAAGAAAGAGUUAUUGGCAAGGAGGUA